AAAUCAACCCGCAGUCCCUGUUUUUAAGUGAAAAAAACGUUUCGUCCGGGGUUGUAAAUAAAAAAAACAGACACGAGCACGACUGCACGAGCUCUCCUCUCUCCCACGCCUCCUGAUCCCAGCCGCCAGGAGGCACGCGGCCCGUGCGGCGCUCGAUCCGGUGACGCGCCGGCCGCCGCCGACGCCGGCAAUCACUGCACCCUGCACCACCGUUCCACCUUAGCUCCUCAUCUUCCCCGCGUGCCCGAGCUCCUCCUCUCUCCCGCGUGCCCGAGCUCCUCGCUGUGUGCCGCUCGGGAGGGCUUGCGUUCGCCGCUCGACCAAAGCCACCGCGAGCUGGUCGUCGUUGCACUUGCUGGCGACCUGGCCGUCCCCUCUGCACCACUUUCACCUCAAAUUUGGACGCUCAUGUGCUUGUGGAUGUUCUCAGUUAUUUUUUGCACACAAGGUGUUUGUGUGUUUGUCUGAACCAGUUUCAGUCACAGAUCCUUGAGCCGACCUAAUUGAGCUAUCGGAGGUGUUGCGGUCUUUUAGCAAACAUGCCCUAUAUUCUAUGGUUUGGCAUCUAUAGGAUGCCAUCUCUGGUCAUGGAUCCACUAUGGCUGCUUCGUCCUUCACUUAGGACCUUCUCGCCCCCACAGAGAUCAGAGAGAAAAAUAUAUCUUGGAAGCAGGAACCCUUACCUCAUAAGAUGGGUUAUGACUAUGCCGUAGGUGACGUGCGGAAAGGCGACCAAAGAGUACAUGAAGAAUUCUUGCUAUCAACUAGGGCUGGAUGCCCCCAGGAAGAAUGCCUCAAAGCAGGAAAGGAGAUCAGAGUUCAGGGCAUGUUCAGCUCCACCCAUGCAUCAAGGGAAAUAUAUACGACGCAAAUGAUAACGUGUUCUGCUAGAUGACAUAGUACAAGGUUCAGCAGCGACGACAUGAUCUCAAACAUGCCACUGGCAUGGCACCUAUACUAAACUUGAUUUGUUCUCUCAAUAUGGAGUGUUAAUCUUCUCCUCUGCAUAGUACAAAUAUUCCCUUAGCUCAAAGGAUAUAGACAUGGUGAGUUUGGUUGGAGGAAAUAAGAAUGAUUUAUAAAAGUAAUAAAAGGGAGAUAAUGCUGCUUGAUGUGUAUGGGGAUUCUGAAGAUAUAUAUGAUUGAUACUUUCCCUGCAUGAUAUAGAUUAGUCGAGGUUUGCGAAGUUCUCUAUAAAAGAACUAUGUGGGGUUCUAUUAUUGUAUUAUUUCUAACACGUAAAAUAUUUAGGCCCCCGUUGCAUUGCAAGGGCAAUCAGGUCAUGGCAGAAUCAAGUAGGAACUAGGAAGUAGGAAGGGACCAGUCCCGCCCCCAGCGACAAAGACUCCGACAACGGUGACGGCAGUGUGUCCCGGCGAGCGUGAGCAAUGGAAGCAUAAUCUCCAAGUAACUGACCAAGACGUUGUCCAGGUCACACGUCGAGGACUUCCUGCCGCCACCUUGGCUGCUGUUGUUGUCCCCUCAAAUAAGCCAUAUAAGGUUAGUUCCAUACACUGCAAAUGCAACUUGCAAGCAUGGGGACAUGUACAGAACACAAGUGUCAUACACACAGAAAUCAUCAACUUUGUGUUUUAAUUGUCUGAAUUACAGGCAUCCCUAGCUGCACUUGCAGGUCAAAAACAUGUGCAUACUUCGGUAGGCACAACAAGCAGACCUAUACAAAUUUGCUACAAAGGCCUGAGCUACUGAAUAUAUAUACCUGUAAUAAAAGAGGCUUUCCUAUCGUCCUCUUUCAUGUUCAAGUUCCUAAUGAAGCAGCCAUGAAAGACUGGGUCAACAAUGAAAUAAAAUAGAAAACUAAACCCACUGUUCAUGAUCUUUGUGGAAGAAAACACAUACGAUUCUUAUUCUGUAAGAGUUGUUUGUCUUUUGAGUUACUGCAUAGGCAAAAUGCCAAAAUUCAGUGUAGUCUUUUUGGUUAAUCUCAUCAUCAUGUAAUUAAUAUUCUGUGAAGACUACAAUAUACAGCGAGGCAAUGAGAAGAACUGGACCUGGUGUGUGAGUGUAUAAAUAUACAAGAAGCUAUUUUUAUCCAA